rnacentral:lncRNA from 1 species
GCAUGCAUCAUCAGUUGGGAAAUGGAGGCUUGUGUGGUGGUUUUUGAGGUGGCUUGACAGGGCGAGUUGGGGGCUUCUUCCCAGUACCAGUUGGGGGGUUUUAGUUUCCGAGGUGGCUUGUGAUCUGAGUCUCUUCCCUCCUCCACCACAUUCUCUUCAAGAUGACCAUCAUGAUGAGGUGGCUCAUCUCCCUUACCCUUCGGUGGCUUAUCUCCCUUACCCUUUGGAGGCUGCUUAACUGGCUUUGGUUUUGGGUCGUGUUCAGGGAAUGGCUUGUGAUCUCCAUCGUCAUUAUGUUCAAGUGGGGUUGGUGGCUUGCCUUUUGGAGGUGGCUUUGGCUUCUUUCCCUUAGGAGGCAAUUUCCCAUCCAAUGACUCUGCCUCUAAUAAACGACGUCCGGUGUUUUGUUUGUGAGGCGGCUUGUGCUCCGGUGGUGGCUUCUUACCCUUGGGAGGUUCAUCAUGACCUGGGCUUCCCUUGUUCUUCGGUGGUGGCUUUUCUCCUUUUUGGGAUUCCUGAUCACCUGGGUGUCCUGGUUUGUGCUUGGGCGGUGGCUUCUCUCCUUUCUUCGGUGGCUCGUCACCUGGGUGUCCAAUACCUGGGGUAUGUCCUGGUGGUCCUCUCUUCGGUGGCUCAUCACCUGGCUGUCCUGGUUUGUGCUCUGGUGGCGGCUUUUGUCCCUUUGGAGGCUGAUUGUGCUCUUGAGGUGGCUUUUGUCCCUCGGGAAAUUUGCCUU